rnacentral:lncRNA from 1 species
GGUACAACAGUGGAAGAGGAGACUUAGUUCGCUGACACCUCGGCUCCACAGCAGUCCCAUGGAAAUCCAGCACACGGCUUCACGGCACACACCUCCUUCCUAACGGUCACAGGGACACAGAUUGAGUUGGUGGAUUAUGCAGUUUAAUGGUUCUGACCAUAACAACAAAUAAUAAUUUAAACAAAAUCUGUUUUUACUAAAAUGUCAAAAAAACAGAGAAGAUAUGUGGAUUUCCCAGCUGAGUGGCCUAUUUUAUAGAUCUACUCAUAAACCAGAAAGGAAAACUUUGGAGGUUUAUUUUACUCUUCAGGGAUCUAGAGCUGCUGUUGGUGUGAAGAGCCUUUUUUGUGGUCUGUGGAUUCCUUUUACUGUUU